UCAAGACAGCCAUGACAUUAUGUUCUUUACAACUUUUGACCACGACUGUAUAUUAUAUAUUCAUUGGCCAACGUUUUUGACCUUAUUAAGAAAACAUAUUGUAUAUAAUUUAUGUAUUUACAAGAUAAAUACUAGUAUUUAAAAUGUAUUACUUGAAAUACCAAGUUUAUUUAGCAUGACGUUGCUGACCAAUAAAAUAAAAAGCAUAAUAUUUUGUCCUGUUUCAUUUUCCCUAAGACGGACUGCUGCAGUUACCGUCCAUGGCCACAAGAUGGCGGCAGAUGUUCGUGCGACAACAGACAAGACGCUUGUGUUGUCCUGAAGUCAAUCGUUAAUAUUAUUUACAUAAUUACUUGAUAAUACUUUUCUACUAGUGACUGCAAUGCUUUAAUUUGGAGCUAAAGUUGUUUUUAUUUAUUGUAUGCUAUAAUCGGUGAACAGCAGUUAGGCGAUGUCACUUCCGCUAAAUUACUUCCUGUUGGUUGACUUCCGGUAUUCGUUCGAAAGCAAGUACAUGUUGCGGUCUUCUGUAGUCAUUUAUGUUGCUAUCCUACACAAAGCAGCGAGGAAGCAAUGCCACGGACUGCUGCAGUUACCGUCCAUGGCCACAAGAUGGCGGCAGAAGUUAGCGCGACAACAGCAGGACGAGACGCUAUUUGGACACAUGUUCGAUUCCCAGAACUGUCACGACUUUAAAUGAAGAAAAUGAUGUGAGUUUUAACAUUUUUGCCUUUUGAAAAAAAAAGCAGGCUGUUUUUAAAGACACAAAUGUGGACUAAAGUAUCAGAAACACAUCUUUUGACAAACUGCCUGUGGGAACUUGUGACGUCACAGCUCGCUAAUGUUGGACAAGUUCUAGUUCUUGUCUGAAAAGAACCGAACGCUUUGCGGUCCCGAUCGAUUGAAGUGAUCGAUCAGGAGCAGCGUGUGUGCCUUUGAAAGUCCACAAGGGCUUUGCUCAGUGGCUCUGGGCGUAGCAGGCGGGGACCACCAGGGCGCCCCUGGACGCCCACUCCGCCCACAUCCUGCCGGCGGUCUGAUACGUGCGCUCCGUCUUCGCCGACUCUGACGUGGCGGUCUCGGCCAGGGACCAGAUUUUGGGUUUGGGCGUGUCUUUGCCGUCCGGAGAAGAGUCCACAGGCGGAGGCUGCGUGGUGGCCUCCGAGGUCUUCUCCUGGGCUCCUUCUGCAGGAUGCUCCUCAUCCUCACUUCUCUUCAGAGGCUCCUCCUCCUCGUCCUCAUCGCUCUCCUGCUCCUCGUCCUCCUCGUCAGACUUGGACCUGGAGGAGGCCCAGCUGACCCGGUUCUCCUUCUUGAGGCGGCGGCGAGCGUUGGCGAACCAGGUGGAGACCUGCGUCAGGCUCAUCUUGGUGAUGAUGGCCAGCAUGACCUUCUCACCUUUGGUGGGGUAAGGGUUCUUCAGGUGCUCGCUGAGCCACGCCUUCAGCGCCCCCGUGCUCUCGCGGGUGGCCACCUUGGCGCUGCCGCGUCCGGGCUCCUCGGCCGUGCCGGGCCGGUAGGGCGAGAAGAAGGGACCCCCGCGCGCCAAAAGAGCGUGGUGGUAGGGGGAGGCGGCCGUGGUCUUCAGGUCAAAGCUGUUGCCCUGCAAACCAGAAAGAAACGUCAGCAUUUCAAAGAAAUGUAAUCUAAAUAAUUUUUUGGUCGUCAACUACUUACUCGUUCUUACAUAUAUACUGUAUGUCUUUUUAUGUUUUUCUUAUUUUUUCCCAGAUUUUAUCUUAUUUUAUUAUUGAUGUGCUAAUUUUAUUUUGUAUUGAAUUAACUACAUAUUAUAUUAUUUUAUUUGUACUUUAUUGAAGUAUAUAUUUUAAUGUUAUGUAAUAUUUUAUAUUUAUAAAUUUAACUGAUAUUUUCUACACUUUUUAUUUUAUUAUAUGCUGUAUAUUUGUACUUUUAAUUUAAUAGUAUUCUCUACUUAUUUUUAUUCUAUUUAAUUAGUUUGUAUAUAUUAAAAUUUUAUGUAACAAUGUUUUAUAUUUAUAAAUUUAACUGAUAUU